UCUGCCGUUCCGUUCGCUCGCUUCUUCUUCGAUUUCAUUUUUUGCACUCACUUAUCACCGUAUAUUAAUAUCGAUAUAUUUGAUUGGCCGCGGGUUAGGCCUCAUCUCCCUCGUCUUCUCUAACGUCUUUUCUUUUCCUCUUUCGAUCGGUGCACAUUCCGGAGUGCUGCAUGCCACGAUUACUUGUUGCUUCAAAUAUCGGCACCCUGAAGGGCUUGCAAUGCCCAUGCCCAGUUCAUUCUUUCUGCAGCCUCAGCAACCGCACGCCUCUGCGCGCCCUGAGACUGGCUUCCAGCUAUCAUGUGAUGCUCGCUCUUCAUCCCUAAUCAAAACGCCUUAUAAGGCUCCCUCUACUUAAAAGGCUCGUUUUUGUUUUUCUUAAACUUCCCGACGUCGAAUAGAUAAGACUGUCAUAUGCCACUUACAUACGGAAGAGAGCUUAAAGGUAUCGCAAAGUUUGUCCGAGCGUCAUAGGGAUGAGAGGGAUCCCUGAUUACGGAAAUUGCAUUCCUUUUGUUCGAAUAUCUAUAUGGAUUGUGGAUGUGUAUUGCAUCCGCAACUGCCGUAUGCAUUGUAGACAUCGAACAUUAUAACACAUUUAACGGAAAAAUCUUCCAUAUGAUUAUCUUGGGAUUGAGCUGUACAGUGUUCUGAUCCAUUGGUAACCAGCUGGAAUAUGAAAUUUGCCAAUCAUAUUCUGAAGUUAUAGGAGAGCUCCUUCAUUCAUAUGUUUUUCCUUACCUUGUUGGAAAAAACAAGAAGAAUGAAUCUUAUAAAUUUCUCAUACCUAAUGGCCAUCAUGAUGCUACAAUUAAAUAGUAAACAAAGUCAAGUCACCACUUUCAUCAAGGAUUUUUAAAGUACAUUUACCCGUGUCAAACUUUUCAGCAUAAAUCCAAGUAGGAAAUGUUUCUUUCCUAUUUUGUUUGGUGUUGCUCAUGAUUGAUUCCGUCUCAUUUGAUUUAGUUCAAUGUUUUUAUCUUCGCUACUUCUCCAUUUCCUCGGAGAGUACUUCUUACUAUCUCUAACCUAAUCAGUUAUUAACAAAGCUUUCUUGGCAUAUUCCUCUUGCUACACUCAUUUUAGUUCAGUUUUCUUGUUUAGUAUUCAUAUCAUGGGUUAGGUGGGACAUGUUCCAUGAACAGAAAGUUGCAUUGUUCUCGUGUGCUAGAUGAGCUGUAGGAUCAUUUAAACUUCUUGUAUUCCUAUUUGAGAUUAUGUCUCCUGGCAGUUUGAGCUUCACAUCUUGCUUUCUCUCAUUUGAUGCAUUCUUUUUAGCAUACCAUAUUCUAUUAUUGCUUCGUUCUGUUGCAGUCUUCAAAAAAAAUUGCAUUGUCAAGAAGUUCCUUCUAAGUUAACCAUUUCGUGUGAGCGAGAGAAUCUUAUUCCUGAGUUUCUUGUUCCAUUCUGACUUGCUCUAUUAGUUUUAUGAAUUACAAUUGAAUAUCUUUCACAUGUAUAACAUAUGAGUUCAUUAUUAUUGUUCAAAGUUCUUCACAGGAUUGCUAUGUAUAUACAUGGACCAAGCUGAAUGAUAAGUUGCCUUUUCUUUGAAUCUCUCAACUGAGAUUGAGACCAAAAAAUAACAUGACAUAGUGACAACCUUAUACCUGAUCAGUAUAGGGAAUUGUGGUUUAUUUGACAGUUCCUAAAUAAUCCUUGAAAAGGAAGAACUAAAGCCGUUGCAACUUAAUAUGGACACUAUUAAGACAGAGGUGUAUCAAGGAAUCGUUGAACAUGGAUUGAAAGCAGAUAUCUCCAGGUCUUGUCUUAGUUUUCUAUCAAUAAAACCUUCAUUUUUCUAUGGUUAACAACAUUUGUUGCUGGUGUCUGUUCUGUGUCACAUUGAUGCACUCCAUUGCCUUUUUCUGACCGACACAUACACACAUAUUAGAUUAUUGAUAGGUGUAUUCUGCACGCUAUACUCAUGGCAUAUGCCUAGUAGCAUAGAACUUCUAGCUGAGGCAAUCUACCAGCUUUGAAACUCUCCUGAAACUCAGACCUGUACCUGCUCCUAAGUGCUUCCUUCAAGCAUUUUUAUAAUAUCCGCUUCACUGCACCUGUACCUGCUUCCGCACCUACUCUUGAUUCUGGCAACUAAGUGGCAUACUUGAUGCAGAUGUAUCAGCGAUAGGUCAUGCUGCAAAGCUCAGAUUAUCCAUCUUGAAAUUUUUGCCAGAAUGUUUAAUUAAUGGUGUAAAAUGGAUUAUUGUACCACUAAAUUAUACAUAUGUUGUGUGCUAUAUUUUAAUUUUGCUGGAGUUAUCUUUGUGAGAUCUUGAUUGAUGCUUAGUUGGACUGAAAAUGCUAAAACAUGCCAAUUGAAUUACUACUUUGUCUCUAUACUUAUAGUAGCAAACACAUCAAGAUCCUUUUAGUUGAGUUGCUGGAGCAAAAGAUGAGUAGCUGGAGUGAGUGGUGUAAUGGUCAUAUCCUGGAUUCCAAUCUCUAGGUGGUUCUGAUAGAAACAAGGAUUAGCUCCAUGUCAACGCUGCUAUUUGCAUCAGACUCCUAGCUUUAAUCUGAAGCAAGAAUGAACUAAGGACUGCUUUGGCUGCUCAAAGCAUGCUCUGCCUUGCUAAUGUUCUGAUUCUUCUGAUAAUGUGCAUGUAUAAAUUAGCAUUGUGGUUAAUACUUGAUUUAUAUUGAUUGUAUACAUAUUGUUUUUUGUUCACAAAACUUUCUGAGUUUGGAGCGAACCUGGUUUGUUCUAUUAGGAUUAGGAAAUCUAUUCUCCAUUUUUUCUAAUGUAUUAAAGUUUCAGUCUCCGUCAUUGAUUAUCUUAUUGGACAUGGUCUAGCUUUAAUAAUUCAUAAACUUGAUGGUUUUAGUUUGGAGACUUUGGAAGAAACAGAUGGUUUACAUAAAAUAUAUGGAUGUUCUAAUUGUGAUUUCAGUGGAUGUUUGUGUACUAGAACUGUUUAAGAUGGAGGGCUGCUUUAUCAGAAAAGGGAUGGGUAUGGGAAUCUCUUGGACUUUGUUCGCCUUGUUGCUUGGUGAGCGGUUCAUAUUUUUAAUAACUUUUUUGGAUUGCUAUCAAUCAUGACAUAGCGAAAGCUUUUUUUUUUUCUUUCCUUUGUUCACACUUUCUAACAAAUAUUGUUGUACUUGAAGCAGCAUGCCAUCUUAAUAAAGAUUGUCUUCUUCUUCUUUUCAUUAUAAAAUUUUUCAAAUGCAACACCGAGGAGCUGAACCCUGGAAGGUGCCGCUCAAAUGAGCUAAUAGUUGUUAGCAAGUUAAUGAUACAUCGUAUAUAACCACAGGGAUGCGGCUCGAGAAACACCACUAAAUAAGUGAUACGUCUUGUUUAGCAAUGUUUCUUGAGCUGCAUUUGUAGUUAGUUGAGCCAUCUGCCAUAGAAUUUGGGACAAAACAGCUAUUUCAGGACUAAACUCGAUACCGAAGUCAGUGCAGCAAUCCAUAUUUCAUGCUAUUUGCUGCACCUCUUUGUCCUGGAAGCAGAAUCUUCUUUUCAGUUUUGUCCUUCCUUCCUUCAGAAAUUUCAAGAAGUUUGUUCAGCCUAUAGAAAUCAUUUACCAUCUUUAAACAGAGUUCAAGUAUUUGCGCAUCACUUGCUAGUCAUACUUCAAGCAUCCUUGUCAACCUUUUCAUGCGGCUUCACUAAUUGCACUGCAUGUCAAUCCAUACAGUUUGGCUGUCCCUGCUCUUAAACUCGUCAGAUAUAGCACCCUAAGCCAUGUCAUCUUCUUCAUCCACAGAAAAGUCAUAUAUAGCAACUGCAUGGAAGAUCAUUGUACCGGAGCCUCAUCUCCAAUUAUAGCCACUAAAAUUGAAUUCCAAGGAUUAGUUUGGUUGAGAUUAAUUUGAACAUUCCUCGGGACUGGACGCCCCUUAGUUGCAAAGAAAUCAGCUGUUCAUGAACUAGUCUGGUCAUCGCUGCAUGAUCUGCGACCGAGGAGCACAAAGGAAUUUCUUUUUCAAAUCGAGCAGCAAAUCUUGCCAGUUCCAGGGGACGGAAGCUCAAAACUGACCCCUGAUUUGCUUCCCUAGUCACUCGAUCAUCCUCUCGCCAAAUUCUAUUUGCGUCUGUUUAUUCAUCAACCCUGCUGGCUGCUGAUGUAAUUAGGAUGUAAGUCUGUGGAAAUAGCAUUCCCAUUUACUUUCCCGACACUGUAGGUUAUUUGAUAUUAGAACCUCAUUUUCUAUAAGUCUCGAAUCAGGAUUGUUCAUUUUUGGGUAUGACAUUUAUCAAAUCUAUCGACCUCAGGAUAUGCAACCUACAUACUCUGAUGAUGUAGGUCGCUGACUUUCCUCUCUGCAUGCGUCGUUUUUCUUUUCUUCGCGCUUUUUUUUUUUUCUUCUUUUUUUUGCUCUGUGCAGCAAUAUAAAAUGGUGUACGCUGGGAACUUUAUUCGUCGUACGGCACCAUUGCCUUCACAUUGGGGAAAUGGGCAAAUGCGAAUAGAAAGAAAAGUGGUUGCGUCUCACGCGGGCAUCUGCCUCUUUGCACGCACUCUUCCCUGGCGCUCCUCGAAUUGGCUUCCGUGGUCUAUGAGAGAGACCUGUAGGUCCCCCGGACCAGGUCAGAGCCGUGGCACAGACCGCAUCAUCGUCAUCUCAGGAUUUUGCUGUCUUCCUGAUCGAGAGGAAUCUUUGAUGCAUGGAAGGAGCUGAUGAUUGGGGCAGUCCUGCUGGUCGGCACUACGGGCCAGGGAAAGCAGACGUCUUCCGAUUCUCUGUCAGCUCAUGGCUUCAGCGAAUGAAGUACGGCGGUAUGUGAGAUUGAAAUGCAUGCAUCUAUCCAUCCAUGAAAAAUGCUUAUCCUGCUGGAUUUUGGUAUGGGUCAUGCUCAGCGGCAUCGAGAUGGUUGCCUGACCAGCGCGCUUACGAUUACCAUGCUGCAGAAAAGUUCGGACGGACGAUGAGAACCACUUUGACGUGUUCGCGUAUUUGAUCAAUGGUUCCGUGUACAACUUCCUCAUUGACCGGGAGACAGAUUUGAUCAUUCCGCCUCCUCAUCAAGGGUUGAAAGAGGUGGAGAGGACAGCCAGCUUGAGUUUUGGUAUGCCGGCACCAAAGGAUGAUCCGGCGGGUGUGUGUCCCACGUAAAUGAAUUCCGACGGAAUUCAUUGUUGGCUCGUGCGUUGACUCAUGAUUUGAUUCAACCCAGUCCAUUUUAGAGGUCUUGUAGAGCCGGAUCGGAUUCUAAAAUUGAACCUGUUCUAUUUUCGGAUUGGAUCUAGAUUUACUAAAUUUAUAUCCGAUCCGAUCUGAAUCUGUAAAAUUAUUUAGACAUGUGGGCUGCAGCCCGCGGAGGUGCAAACACAAAUUCUAAAGUCAUGGAUGGAUCGAUCUGCAUCGGAUCCAACUCGGACCCAAAUCAAACUGAAAUCGGAUUCGAAUUUUUUGGAUUGGAUCUGAGUUAUAUAUGGAGCCGACCCGACUCGAUCUUUUAUCGGAUCAGGUCUGAGUCCAAAAUUAGAACCCGAACAAAAAAUCAAGUUAGAUUGGAUCAUGAGUGACCCCGAUCUAACAUGACCCAUUUGAACCUUUAUUUGCGCCCGUCCAUCGUUGAAUCACCCAAGUCACAUAUCUCGAAGCGAUCCGAACUCCCUCAUUCAUCCCGACAUGCAUAUAUCUCGAAGCAAGCAGUGGAUUAUUGCAACGUGGAUGGGCGCGAAGGUAGGCGAAUCCUUCUUUCCACAAUCCUGGUCCGAGAAUUUUUUUCAUUUUUUAAUGUUUUUUCUUUCUCUUUUUUGUUGGCUACACAAAAAAAUUGGAGGGUGAGGUUCCAAAAGUUUUGAGGGAUGAUAUUACAUCCAGACUCGGACCAGAGACUUCUCGUUUUUUUUCUUAAUUAACAUGAUAGAAAUUCUGCUUUUCUUUUUUGCCACCCUAGCACUAAUGUUGGGGAACUAAAGGAGCGACUUCUGAUAAGGCAGGGCUCCUGUGAUGCUUUGGUUUGUAUUUUUAUUCCAUGAAGCGGUUUUAUGUACACAAAGUCAUCUAAACAAGUGUAGUGAAAUGUCUUGUGCUACGCUAUCAUCCAAAUUUUGUCCACGAUGCAUUCUAGAAUUGUCGAGAGGAGCGCAUAUCGGACGUAAUAGAAGAGCAGGAAAUUAAUUAACCAAUGCAAUCACGGACGGUCUUUGGCCUUUUGUUGAAAGUCCCUUGACGCUCUCCUGCUCCGGAUCCAUCAGUAGAGAUGCGCUAGCUCCGCCAUCCAAUAAGUUCGAUCCCUCUUCUGUCGGAAAAACCAGCAAGAUCCGGUCCUGUCCCACCGGCAGACGACCCACGGCUUGCUUAUAACAUGAAACAGCGGUACGGACAAAAUCCUGGCUCGAUAAUUUUCAUGGUAUAAAUGGUAAUUUAAAUUACUCUAGCAUAAGUGCAACCAGCCAAAUCAUUAAAAAAAAAAAAGCGCGAUAUUUUCAAAAUCAGGCUUCCAGCAGCAGGUGGGGCCGGAGACCAAAUAUUGCCUGUAUUCUAUGGCUUCUCCAUCCGGUGGGAGGGCCAAUCGUCGCCCAUCGAUGAGCAGAAACACUACUGCUUGCCCCAGACCGAGGGAGUGGGCGAGCACUUGGCCCCCUGCCAUGGGCUGACCCUCAGCCUGACGCCAGCCAUUACGAUGGAUAGGGACGGCCACGAGCGAGCGUGAUCCACACACUCGCGCACAGGAACGGCAGGGAGUUGCAUCAUGCGACAUGGGGUGGCCCUUUUUUUUGUUUUUGGUUUUUGUGCGCGCGCGCGCGUUGCAUUCCGAAGAUUAAUGUCAUGUCACGUCCCGUUGGCAGGGGAGGGAGUUAUCGGUGCCGCUACUAUGCUUGGAGGAGCUAACAUUGUGCUGGAAGGGGACUUAAAGGAUGCUGAUCAAUUGGAUAAUGAAACCAGCAACCCGGAUUGAAGGUGAUUAUCAUCUUCCGAAAUUUAGAGGAUCAGUUUCACCCUUGUCCUAUCCGAAGCUGUCCAGAUCCACAGAGAGACUAAUGAUGCUGUGGAUAAGAUAGCUUUUUUAUGGGGCUAAUCAUGCGAGCCAUGUACUCUGGGACUCCAUCUCCUCGGUUCCAAUGUCAUAUAUUGUGAUUUCAGUGGACGUAUGUGUACUAGAACUGUUCAAGAUGGAGGGCUGCUUUAUCAGAAAAAAGAUCGGUGUGGGAAUCUCUUGGCCUAACGAUGCUCGGUCAAACUACCGGGCCCUCCUCGGUCCCCGCCUUGCCCCCUCCAAAUUUCCAAAGGCUGUUCGACUCCAACAAUUUGUCGGUCACCGCAAAAGCAGCCACAACAUAUCCACAUGCCUCAUCAUCAUCAUACUCGACCGCCCAACUUGGUUUUGUGAAACAGAAAUUCACGGUACAAAGGAAGCGUUCGUUCGGUAAAUGGCAAGCAGCUUAGGCACACAUGUGCUUCUCCCUGCAUCCAGUCCGAGCACGGUCAGCAGAUUCUCCAAUCUCUCUCUCUCUCUCUCUCUCUCUCACACACACACACACACACACACA